rnacentral:rRNA from 1 species
AAUCAACGCUGGCGGCGUGCCUCAGACAUGCAAGUCGAACGCGAAAGGCCCCUUCGGGGGCCGAGUAGAGUGGCGCACGGGUGAGUAACACGUAGGUAAUCUACCUCUGGGUGGGGAAUAACAGUCGGAAACGGCUGCUAAUACCGCAUAAUGCAGCGGCACCACAUGGUGACAGUUGUUAAAGCGGGGGAUCGUAAGGCCUCGCGCCUAGAGAUGAGCCUGCGGCGGAUUAGCUAGUUGGCAGGGUAACGGCCUACCAAGGCGACGAUCCGUAGCCGGCCUGAGAGGGCGGACGGCCACACUGGCACUGACAUACGGGCCAGACUCCUACGGGAGGCAGCAGUCGGGAAUUUUGGGCAAUGGGCGAAAGCCUGACCCAGCAACGCCGCGUGAAGGAUGAAG